AUGCAGUGAUGAUCUCUUAAGUAGUGGUUUCAAUUCACUGAUAGUUGAAUGAAGACCUGAAUUUCCUUGGCUGUGUCUGAGCAU
ensembl:snoRNA